rnacentral:rRNA from 1 species
UACGUAGGGUGCGAGCGUUAAUCGGAAUUACUGGGCGUAAAGCGUGCGCAGGCGGUUCGUUGUGUCGGCGGUGAAAGCCCCGGGCUCAACCUGGGAAUGGCCGUUGAAACUGGCGAACUGGAGUGUGGCAGAGGGGGGUGGAAUUCCGCGUGUAGCAGUGAAAUGCGUAGAUAUCGAGAGGAACACCAGUGGCGAAGGCGGCUCGCUGGACCGGUUCUGACGCUGAGGCGCGAAAGCGUGGGGAGCAAACAGG